rnacentral:rRNA from 1 species
CCUACGGGGGGCUGCAGUAGAGAAUUUUUGGCAAUGGGCGAAAGCCUGACCAAGCGAUGCCGCGUGCGGGAUGAAGGCCUUCGGGUUGUAAACCGCUGUCAGUGGGGAGGCCUAUCUGCAGAGGAAGUGUGGGCUAAGUUCGUGCCAGCAGCCGCGGUAAGACGAACCACACGAACGUUAUUCGGAAUUACUGGGCUUAAAGGGUGCGUAGGCGGCGUAGUAAGUUGGGUGUGAAAUCCCUCGGCUCAACCGAGGAACUGCGCCCAAAACUACUAUGCUUGAGGAAGAUAGAGGUAAGCGGAACUCACGGUGGAGCGGUGAAAUGCGUUGAUAUCGUGAGGAACACCUGUGGCGAAAGCGGCUUACUGGGUUUUCUGACGCUGAUGCACGAAAGCCAGGGGAGCAAACGGGAUUAGAUAACCCAGUAGUC